AGAGUUUGAUCCUGGCUCAGGACGAACGCUGGCGGCGCGCCUAACACAUGCAAGUCGAACGAGCGAGAGAGAGCUUGCUUUCUCAAGCGAGUGGCGAACGGGUGAGUAACGCGUGAGGAACCUGCCUCAAAGAGGGGGACAACAGUUGGAAACGACUGCUAAUACCGCAUAAGCCCACGGCUCGGCAUCGAGCAGAGGGAAAAGGAGCAAUCCGCUUUGAGAUGGCCUCGCGUCCGAUUAGCUGGUUGGUGAGGUAAUGGCCCACCAAGGCGACGAUCGGUAGCCGGACUGAGAGGUUGAACGGCCACAUUGGGACUGAGACACGGCCCAGACUCCUACGGGAGGCAGCAGUGGGGAAUAUUGCACAAUGGGGGAAACCCUGAUGCAGCGACGCCGCGUGGAGGAAGAAGGUCUUCGGAUUGUAAACUCCUGUUGUUGAGGAAGAUAAUGACGGUACUCAACAAGGAAGUGACGGCUAACUACGUGCCAGCAGCCGCGGUAAAACGUAGGUCACAAGCGUUGUCCGGAAUUACUGGGUGUAAAGGGAGCGCAGGCGGGAAGACAAGUUGGAAGUGAAAUCCAUGGGCUCAACCCAUGAACUGCUUUCAAAACUGUUUUUCUUGAGUAGUGCAGAGGUAGGCGGAAUUCCCGGUGUAGCGGUGGAAUGCGUAGAUAUCGGGAGGAACACCAGUGGCGAAGGCGGCCUACUGGGCACCAACUGACGCUGAGGCUCGAAAGUGUGGGUAGCAAACAGGAUUAGAUACCCUGGUAGUCCACACUGUAAACGAUGAUUACUAGGUGUUGGAGGAUUGACCCCUUCAGUGCCGCAGUUAACACAAUAAGUAAUCCACCUGGGGAGUACGACCGCAAGGUUGAAACUCAAAGGAAUUGACGGGGGCCCGCACAAGCAGUGGAGUAUGUGGUUUAAUUCGACGCAACGCGAAGAACCUUACCAAGUCUUGACAUCCUGCGACGGUGCUGGAAACAGUACUUUCCUUCGGGACGCAGAGACAGGUGGUGCAUGGUUGUCGUCAGCUCGUGUCGUGAGAUGUUGGGUUAAGUCCCGCAACGAGCGCAACCCUUAUGGUCAGUUACUACGCAAGAGGACUCUGGCCAGACUGCCGUUGACAAAACGGAGGAAGGUGGGGAUGACGUCAAAUCAUCAUGCCCUUUAUGACUUGGGCUACACACGUACUACAAUGGCGUUAAACAAAGAGAAGCAAGACCGCGAGGCGGAGCAAAACUCAGAAACAACGUCCCAGUUCGGACUGCAGGCUGCAACUCGCCUGCACGAAGUCGGAAUUGCUAGUAAUCGCAGAUCAGCAUGCUGCGGUGAAUACGUUCCCGGGCCUUGCACACACCGCCCGUCA
rnacentral:rRNA from 1 species